GGGAAUGUGGCUUAGUGGUAGAGUGCUUGCCUUGUAUGCAUGAAGUUCUGGGUUCAAUUCUCAAAACCA
rnacentral:tRNA from 1 species